rnacentral:rRNA from 1 species
UGGGGAAUAUUGGACAAUGGGCGCAAGCCUGAUCCAGCCAUGCCGCGUGAGUGAUGAAGGCCCUAGGGUUGUAAAGCUCUUUCACCGGUGAAGAUAAUGACGGUAACCGGAGAAGAAGCCCCGGCUAACUUCGUGCCAGCAGCCGCGGUAAUACGAAGGGGGCUAGCGUUGUUCGGAUUUACUGGGCGUAAAGCGCACGUAGGCGGACUAUUAAGUCAGGGGUGAAAUCCCGGGGCUCAACCCCGGAACUGCCUUUGAUACUGGUAGUCUUGAGUUCGAGAGAGGUGAGUGGAAUUGCGAGUGUAGAGGUGAAAUUCGUAGAUAUUCGGAGGAACACCAGUGGCGAAGGCGGCUCACUGGCUCGAUACUGACGCUGAGGUGCGAAAGCGUGGGGAGCAAACAGG